rnacentral:rRNA from 1 species
AGUGAACGCUGGCGGUAGGCCUAACACAUGCAAGUCGAACGGCAGCACAGGAGAGCUUGCUCUCUGGGUGGCGAGUGGCGGACGGGUGAGGAAUACAUCGGAAUCUACCUUUUCGUGGGGGAUAACGUAGGGAAACUUACGCUAAUACCGCAUACGACCUGCGGGUGAAGGUGGGGGACCGCAAGGCCUCACGCGAUUAGAUGAGCGGAUGUCCGAUUAGCUAGGUGGCGGGGUAAUGGCCCACCAAGGCGAAGAUCGGUAGCUGGUCUGAGAGGAUGAUCAGCCACACUGGAACUGAGACACGGUCCAGACUCCUACGGGAGGCAGCAGUGGGGAAUAUUGGACAAUGGGCGCAAGCCUGAUCCAGCCAUACCGCGUGGGGGAAGAAGGCCCUCGGGUUGUAAAGCCCUUUUGUUGGGAAAGAAAUCCUGUCGAUUAAUACUCGGUGAGGAUGACGGUACCCAAAGAAUAAGCACCGGCUAACUUCGUGCCAGCAGCCGCCGUAAAAC